GACAGAGGGUGCAAACGUUGUUCGGAAUUACUGGGCGUAAAGCGCGUGUAGGCGGCUGCGCAAGUCGGAUGUGAAAUCCCAUGGCUCAACCAUGGAAGUGCACCCGAAACUGCGUAGCUAGAGUCUCGGAGAGGAAGGCGGAAUGCUUGGUGUAGAGGUGAAAUUCGUAGAUAUCAAGCGGAACACCGGCGGCGAAGGCGGCCUUCUGGACGAUGACUGACGCUGAGACGCGAAAGCGUGGGGAGCGAACAGG
rnacentral:rRNA from 1 species